UUUACCAGCUCCUAGCACAGUGCCUGUCAUAAAAUAGGCACGCCAUAUACAUUUUUUAAAAAUAUUUUAUAUAUUUGUUAGAGACUGUGUAUAGCAAUGAAUGAAUAAUGAAAAGAAUGUCCUUCUUGCAUUUUCCCCAUUUAUUCUUCUGCUGCCCUCAUUUUUCUAGGUCUGAUUUAGGUGCCAAUGGAGCUAUUCUUCCUGUUUGAAGAUGUCUCUUCCUCGAUUUGGUAACAUGUUAAGAAUGUCCCUGGGAAGGAGAUAGAAUGGCAAAGUCGGUGUCUAUUCUGGGUUGGAUCUGAUUUCUAUCACUUAUUAGAUGUGACAUUUUGGAGGAUUCAAUGGAGCAAUCCAAGGCUCAGAAGAUGGUGGAGUCACAGAAUGAAGGAGCCAGGGUCCCUAAAUCCCUGUGAGGGACAGAAUACUCUGCUGACCUGCACUGAGCUGGAAAUUGAGUGAGAAGUAAGCACUUACUGAGCUAAGCCACUGAGUUUUCGAGUAGGUCACAGCACUUGUCCUAUUCUCACAAAACAGGGAUGGGAAAUGUGGGAAUGCUUUGAAACAAGGGUCUCAGCUCUGGGAGAGAGGCUUGGGUGGACAGUCAGUGCACUUUAAUUUGACAAACGCUUUUCUUUUACUUAUAUUUGAAAAAAGUUUUGCAGUCUUUACUGGUGGCUUUUUUUUGGGUAAAGGGACUUUUUUGUGGUUCUAAAAAUUUUUUUUUAAUAAUUUAUUUUAUUUUUGUUGCUGUGGUUGAGCAUAUACCAGCAGAACAUACACCAAUUCAUCAACUUCUGCAUGUACAUUUCAGUGACAUUAAUUAUGUUCUUCAAGUUAUGCAACCAUUCUGACCCUCCUUUUCCAAGUUGUUCCUCACCUAUUAUUGACAAACACUUCUUGAGUGACUCUUUUAAAUCAAGCAUUGUGCUGGGUCCUGAGAAUAUAGGGAUGAGUGAGUCAUGGCUGCCGCCCUCAAGGGCUCAGAGCUAGUGAUAGCAGAGAGGCAUAUACAUACAGACUUAGGAUACAGCUUCAUAACAGCAACAACACCCCCUGCAGACAGGGAGGGAGGCACAUUCAAGGGUUGCGUCUCAGAGGGGACAUAGGACCUGGGCUUUGAAGAAUGAAGGAGAAUAACAGGGUAGGCAAGAAACCAAGCAGUCGUACUGGGAGCAUUCCCAGGAGGGAGAGAGGGACAGACAGAAGAGCUGAGCAGAGCAAGGACGGGGCUGAUACCAGUUCACUAUUCCUUAUCUGCUGUUCUGAAAUCCACAAAGCUCUGAAAACCACGAUGUUGAACUCACUUGGGGCCAAAUCUAACCCAACUUAAACUUAUUUGGCACUAAAACCUGCCCUGAACUGAUGUGAAGUUAUCUAUAAACCCAAACCAAAACCAAACCCACUGCCACUGAGUUGAUUCUAACUCAUAGUGACCCUGUAGGACAGAGUAGAACUGCCCCAUAGGGUUUCCAAGGCUGUAAAUCUUUACAGAAGUAGAUCUUUUUCCUGGGGAGUGGCUGGUGGGUUCGAACCGCCUACCUUUCAGUUAGCAGCUGAGAGCGUAACCACUGCACCACCAGUGCUCCUUAAGUUAUCUAUAGUCUUUAUCCCACUUAGUGUGGAUAUGCACAUGCUUCACAGACAGAAAUAGUGAUUUUUUUUAAUUUUAGGGUGCUGUUAUAAUCCUGACGGGAGUUUUUCAUAAUUUCUAUAUAUGCACUGUUACCUUUCUAAAAUCUAAAAAAAAAAAAAAAAGGAGCAAUGAAGCAUCUAGAUACAGAUUUGUGGAACUGUGCUAAUUGAUUACCUUUGCAGGGUGCUUGUAAUUCAGCAAGCUCUUAUGUCCACGUCAGAUGG